UACAGAGGUCUCAAGCGUUGUUCGGAUUCAUUGGGCGUAAAGGGUGCGUAGGCGGCGGGGCAAGUCAGGUGUGAAAUCCCGGAGCUCAACUCCGGAACUGCACUUGAUACUGCCUUGCUAGAGUACUGGAGAGGAGACUGGAAUUUACGGUGUAGCAGUGAAAUGCGUAGAUAUCGUAAGGAAGACCAGUGGCGAAGGCGGGUCUCUGGACAGUUACUGACGCUGAGGCACGAAGGCCAGGGGAGCAAGCGGG
rnacentral:rRNA from 1 species